rnacentral:tRNA from 1 species
GGCCGGGUGGUCUAAUUGGUAAGAGACUUGCUAGAUAAGACUAUAUGCCAGUAUAAUUGGCACUACGGGAUGAGGCAGGUGAUCUGGGUUCGACUCCCAGCUCGGCCA